rnacentral:lncRNA from 1 species
UCCCAUAUUGAAAAAAAGGAUCGAUCAAAACAAAAGCCAGAGAUAUGGAGCAAAACCCCAUCGCCCACCACUACACCACCCGACGACGGCGAUGAGUGAACUCCACCGCUUCACAGUCCUACCAACCAACGAUGACGCUGAGUGAAUAGCCGGCUCUCUGGCGGCUAGGGUUCCGCUGGAAACCCGACAAAGGAGAUGAUCGGAGGUUGUCGGCUCUUCUGCGUGCUCUUGUCCUGGUUCUUCAAUUUUUGGUCAGAUCUAAUUCACAUAGUAAAGGGAUUUUAGAUUUCAUCUGGCUUGAUGGUCCAAUUUCCCUAUUUUGAAAGGGUAAAAGAAAAGAGAAAAAACUCACAAGCAGCGAACCAUAGGAUGGAGGUAGUAGGAGGCGUCAAUCGAACCAGAAAAACCAGAUAAAAUAGAUGACCAUGAGCAGCGAAACUUCAUGCGAUUUAAUCACAAGCAUCAGACCAAACUAGAAGCAAAAAUCAGGUCCAUCACACAUAUGUAGCUGCUAGAUCUUAUGGUGCUUUUAAAAGGUCCCAAGCGUGGAAAACCAUCCGACGUAUUGAGAAUGAGGCAGAUGCUCAUAAAACUUAAGCACCACAGCCCUCUUCACCUUAAAUAAAUGACACUGCCGCCUGCUGAUAUGUAUGUCAAGGCCGAUGCAGCUAAAGUUCCUAUUGUUGUUGCUUAAGUGUGUUAAUGGUGUUUCUGUCACCUCUCAGUUUUGUCAAUAUAUAAUAGUUCAUUGAGGGAGGAUUUCGAGUUUUAGACGUGAAUGUAAGGGUGUCCGGGGCACCUUAGGUGACCCCUUUAGGUGACUCCAUUCACCUAUUAGGUGAGCAUUGCCAACACUUAGGUGAGUUAGAG